AACUGCUGCUGUUUCAAGACAUGCGCACUAGCUGCGACAUCUAGUGACGACAUUUACCGGGCUUUAACGGUUGUUGCUGCAUGAAGUCUGCUGCAAUUUCUCUGAGAUUUCUCAAGAUCAUCAGUUUGGACAGAAUUCAUUUGAAGAAUUAAUAGCACUAGCAGGUUCCAAUAAAGGCUGGAACAGAACAGACAGAAAAGAAUCUGUCAGAAGAAAUUCAACUACUGUUCGUGCACCAGAUGGUGAAG